rnacentral:misc_RNA from 1 species
CCUACCCUCUCCCCCACGGGGAGAGGGUUUCAGCGCGGCGCCCCGUCUUUGCUGUCGCAAACUUCAAUUCGAUCCACUAUUGAGCGACAANNNNNNNNNNAAACGUACAGACAUCUCGACGAUCCUCAUCAUCGGCGCUGGCCCCAUCGUGAUCGGCCAGGCCUGCGAAUUCGAUUAUUCCGGCACCCAGGCGGUCAAGANNNNNNNNGAGGGCUACCGGAUCGUCCUGGUCAACUCCAAUCCGGCCACCAUCAUGACGGACCCGGAACUGGCGGAUGCGACCUAUAUCGAGCCGAUCACGCCGGAAAUCGUCGCCAAGAUCAUCGAGAAGGAACGCCAUGUCCUUCCCGGCGGCUUCGCGCUGCUGCCGACCAUGGGCGGCCAGACCGCGCUGAACUGCGCGCUGUCGCUGCGCCGUCAGGGCACGCUGGAGAAAUUCGAUGUCGAGAUGAUCGGCGCCACCGCCGAC